rnacentral:tRNA from 1 species
CUGGGGAUAUAGCUCGGUCAGUAGGGUGUUUGCCUUGCACGCACAAGGCCCUGGGUUCAAUCCCCAGCACCAGG